CUUGAUUAGGGUUUAGCUUAAUCUAUUUAUUUAGGUUUAGGGUAUAUUGGGAUUAGUGUUUAGUGACUAGAAUGUAGGGUUUAGUAUUUAGAAGGUGAGGGGAUAUGGUUGGGGUGAGCAUUAACUUCUUUCAUGCAAUCAUAGAUAUCUUAUAGUUUCACCAAUAUGUACUAUGUUAUUUGUUUUGUUUCAUUCUAUUUGGGUUUUGUGUUUAUAUUUGGAUUUAAGGUUUAUAUUUGAGUUAGGGUUUAGUGAUUAGAGUUUAGGGUUUAGAUUUACUAGGUAAAUGUUUGGGUAUAGUAAACCAUAUUAUAUACAUUCUAUUUGGGUUUAUAUUUUCUUGAUUAAGGUUUAGCUUAAUCUAUUUAUUUCAAGUAAAAUGUGCUUUCAAGUGUUUAAU
rnacentral:lncRNA from 1 species